GAUGAACGCUGGCGGCGUGCCUAAUACAUGCAAGUCGAGCGGUAAGGCCCUUCGGGGUACACGAGCGGCGGACGGCAGAGUAACACGUAGGAACGUACCCCAAAGUGAGGGAUAGCCCACCGAAAGGUGGAUUAAUACCGCAUGUGGUCUUCGGAUUAAAGCAGCAAUGCGCUUUGGGAACGGCCUGCGUAAGAUUAGCUAGUUGGUGAGGUAACGGCUCGCCAAGGCGACGAUCUUUAGCUGGUCUGAGAGGAUGAUCAGCCUGACUGGGACUGAGACACGGCCCAGACUCCUACGGGAGGCAGCAGUAGGGAAUUUUCCACAAUGGGCGAAAGCCUGAUGGAGCAACGCCGCGUGCAGGAUGAAGGCCUUCGGGUUGUAAACUGCUUUUGUCUGAGAAGAAUAUGACGGUAACAGACGAAUAAGGGUCUGCUAACUACGUGCCAGCCGCCGCGGUAA
rnacentral:rRNA from 1 species